rnacentral:rRNA from 1 species
GCCCUACGGGAGGCAGCAGUGAGGAAUAUUGGUCAAUGGGCUGAAGCCUGAACCAGCCAAGUCGCGUGAGGGAUUAAGGCCCUGCGGGUCGUAGACCUCUUUUGCCGGGGAGCAGUGGUCCGGACGCGUCCGGACCGGGAGAGUACCCGGAGAAAAAGCAUCGGCUAACUCCGUGCCAGCAGCCGCGGUAAUACGGAGGAUGCGAGCGUUAUCCGGAUUUAUUGGGUUUAAAGGGUGCGUAGGCGGGCAUUUAAGCCGGCGGUCAAAUGUCGGGGCUCAACCUCGGCCUGCCGUCGGGACUGGGG